CAAGGUACGGAUAAGUGAAGUGGCGACUGGAUGGAAGCUGAACGCGAGUAGGUUUCUAGGGGUGCUACUUUCAGGACCAGGGGAGCUAGGAGGUAGUUGGCUAGCUAGGGCUUGAAUAGUCUCAGUAAAGAAUUGGUUAAAACU